rnacentral:rRNA from 1 species
GUAGUCAUAUGCUUGUCUCAAAGAUUAAGCCAUGCAUGUCUAAGUAUAAGCAAUUAUACCGUGAAACUGCGAAUGGCUCAUUAAAUCAGUUAUCGUUUAUUUGAUAGUACCUUACUACUUGGAUAACCGUGGUAAUUCUAGAGCUAAUACAUGCUAAAAACCCCGACUUCGGGAGGGGUGUAUUUAUUAGAUAAAAAACCAAUGCCCUUCGGGGCUCUUUGGUGAUUCAUAAUAACUUAACGGAUCGCAUGGCCUUGCGCCGGCGACGGUUCAUUCAAAUUUCUGCCCUAUCAACUUUCGAUGGUAAGGUAUUGGCUUACCAUGGUUUCAACGGGUAACGGGGAAUUAGGGUUCGAUUCCGGAGAGGGAGCCUGAGAAACGGCUACCACAUCCAAGGAAGGCAGCAGGCGCGCAAAUUACCCAAUCCCGACACGGGGAGGUAGUGACAAUAAAUACUGAUACAGGGCUCUUUUGGGUCUUGUAAUUGGAAUGAGUACAAUUUAAACCCCUUAACGAGGAACAAUUGGAGGGCAAGUCUGGUGCCAGCAGCCGCGGUAAUUCCAGCUCCAAUAGCGUAUAUUAAAGUUGUUGCAGUUAAAAAGCUCGUAGUUGAAACUUGGGCCUGGCUGGCCGGUCCGCCUCACCGCGUGUACUGGUCCGGCCGGGCCUUUCCUUCUGGAGAGCCUCAUGCCCUUCACUGGGUGUGUUGGGGAACCAGGACUUUUACUUUGAAAAAAUUAGAGUGUUCAAAGCAGGCCUUUGCUCGAAUACGUUAGCAUGGAAUAAUAGAAUAGGACGUGCGAUCCUAUUUUGUUGGUUUCUAGGACCGCCGUAAUGAUUAAUAGGGAUAGUCGGGGGCAUCAGUAUUCAAUUGUCAGAGGUGAAAUUCUUGGAUUUAUUGAAGACUAACUACUGCGAAAGCAUUUGCCAAGGAUGUUUUCAUUAAUCAGUGAACGAAAGUUAGGGGAUCGAAGACGAUCAGAUACCGUCGUAGUCUUAACCGUAAACUAUGCCGACUAGGGAUCGGGCGAUGUUAUUAUUUUGACUCGCUCGGCACCUUACGAGAAAUCAAAGUUUUUGGGUUCUGGGGGGAGUAUGGUCGCAAGGCUGAAACUUAAAGG